rnacentral:rRNA from 1 species
GAUGAACGCUGACAGAAUGCUUAACACAUGCAAGUCAACUUGAACUUCGGUUUGGGUGGCGGACGGGUGAGUAACGCGUAAAGAACUUGCCUCACAGCUAGGGACAACAUUUGGAAACGAAUGCUAAUACCUGAUAUUAUGAUUAUAUGGCAUCGUAUAAUUAUGAAAGCUAUAUGCGCUGUGAGAGAGCUUUGCGUCCCAUUAGCUAGUUGGAGAGGUAACAGCUCACCAAGGCGAUGAUGGGUAGCCGGCCUGAGAGGGUGAUCGGCCACAAGGGGACUGAGACACGGCCCUUACUCCUACGGGAGGCAGCAGUGGGGAAUAUUGGACAGUGGACCGAGAGUCUGAUCCAGCAAUUCUGUGUACACGAUGAAGUUUUUCGGAAUGUAAAGUGCUUUCAGUUGGGAAGAAAAAAAUGACGGUACCAACAGAAGAAGAGACGGCUAAAUACGUG